GAUUAGCUCAGUUGGUUAGAGCGUGGUGCUAAUAGUGGAUGGCUUCACAGCCUGAUACUGAAACGCCAAGGUCGCGAGUUCGACGUAGGUUACAACCACAAUAUACU